UGGCGCCCGAACAGGGACCUGGAAAUGAGGGACUCCGUGAGGAAGAGGACGCCAAAGGACGGUCGACCGCUAACGAAGACAAAAGAAAGUGAACUCUUCCAAUCAUCGCGGGAACCUGCCGCGUCAGAAUCGAAGGUAAGUGACGCGUCCGAAAUGGGACAAGAAUUAAGCCAACAUCAGAUCUAUGUAGGACAAUUAAAAGAGGCUUUAAAGAUACGAGGAGUAAAGGUUAAAGGUAAUGANNNNNNNNNNUUAAACAUAUUUCAGACACAGCUAACUUAUUUUUACAAUGUCAACAACUUAUUCAAAAAAAGGACUACUCCCUU
rfam:Chlorocebus sabaeus isolate 1994-021 chromosome 11, whole genome shotgun sequence.